AACGCUAGCUACAGGCUUAACACAUGCAAGUCGAGGGGAAACGAUAUUGGAAGCUUGCUUCCGAUAGGCGUCGACCGGCGCACGGGUGAGUAACGCGUAUCCAACCUGCCCAUCACUUGGGGAUAACCUUGCGAAAGUAAGACUAAUACCCAAUGAUAUCUCUAGAAGACAUCUGAAAGAGAUUAAAGAUUUAUCGGUGAUGGAUGGGGAUGCGUCUGAUUAGCUUGUUGGCGGGGUAACGGCCCACCAAGGCAACGAUCAGUAGGGGUUCUGAGAGGAAGGUCCCCCACAUUGGAACUGAGACACGGUCCAAACUCCUACGGGAGGCAGCAGUGAGGAAUAUUGGUCAAUGGACGAGAGUCUGAACCAGCCAAGUAGCGUGCAGGAUGACGGCCCUAUGGGUUGUAAACUGCUUUUAUAAGGGAAUAAAGUGAGUCUCGUGAGACUUUUUGCAUGUACCUUAUGAAUAAGGACCGGCUAAUUCCGUGCCAGCAGCCGCGGUAAUACGGAAGGUCCGGGCGUUAUCCGGAUUUAUUGGGUUUAAAGGGAGCGUAGAUGGAUGUUUAAGUCGGUUGUGAAAGUUUGCGGCUCAACCGUAAAAUUGCAGUUGAUACUGGAUAUCUUGAGUGCAGUUGAGGCAGGCGGAAUUCGUGGUGUAGCGGUGAAAUGCUUAGAUAUCACGAAGAACUCCGAUUG
rnacentral:rRNA from 1 species